rnacentral:lncRNA from 1 species
CAUGACCAUGGUGUGAUGGCAGUGUUUCAGGACAAGCCUAGGACCCCAGAAGGUGCCAUAUGAUGUGGUACCCCGUGCCAUGUGAUGAGCCGGGGGAGGGUGGUAUCAACCUGCUAUUGCGCUUAGUUUUCUCAGCCACCCUCACUGUGGUUGGGAGUCGUCUGGGGUCACAUUCCCUCCAGCCAUUUUCAUUGCAUGACCGCAGUCACAACUUUGCUCCUCACCAUCCUCUGCCUGAUUUGUGGGGAGAGGUCUCUAAUAAGACACUUCUCCCCAGAGACAUGAAAGAAACAUGGCAUCCUUUGCGGGCGGGGGGGGGGGGGGGGGGAGAACGGGACGACGGGGACGGACCAGAUUUGCAUUUAACUCCAUAUUGCAGUUGUAUGAACAAACACCUACACCAUGCUGGUAUAGUUCCAAAUAAAAGAGCCACAUUUCCUUUCUCCUC